rnacentral:lncRNA from 1 species
GCAUUUGCAGCAACAUGGAUGGACCUAGAAAUUAUCAUGCUGAGUGAAGUCAGCCAGACAAUGAGACACCAACAUCAAAUGUUAUCACUAACAUGUGGAAUCUGAAAAAAGGACAGAAUGAACUUCUUUGCAGAAUGGAUACUGACUCACAGACUUUGAAAAACUUAUGGUUUCAAAAGGAGAUAAUUUGAGGGGGGUGGGGGGAUGCACUGGGGUUGUGGGAUGGAAAUUCUAAAAAAUUGGAUUGUGUUGAUCAUUGUACAACUAUAAAUGUAAUAAAUUCAUUGAGCAAUAAAAAAAGGAUGAUAGAGAAUUUUAGAGGAGCUAAAAUAUUAAAGCGGUAAUGAUGUGAAUAAAAAAAAAAAAGGAAAGCACUAUAAGAACAAUAAAUAACGGAGUUCCUGUUGUGGCUCAGCAGGUUAAGAACCUGCCAUAGUGGCCAUGAGGAUGCAAUUCCUAUUCCUGGCCUUGCUCAGUGGGUUAUGGUUCCACAGUUGCCGCAAGCUGUGGUUAGGUCACAAAUGUGGCACAGAUCUGGUGUUGCUGUGGCUGUGGAGUAGGCUUCAGCUAUAGUUCUGAUUCAACCCCUAGCCCAGGAACUUUAAUACUUCCAUAUGCUGCAGGUGUGGCCAUAAAAACAAAACAAAACAAAACAAAAUGGAUGCUUCUGUAUGUCUGGCAUCACAGGAAAACAAGGGGAUAGGUGUCAAGAUUGGACAGAAAAAAAAUAAACAAAAUCAACAUUCUCAUCUUCAGAAAACUUUGCAUAAAGUUUACAAAAAGUAUGCAUUCUAGGAGUUUACCUGUAAUCCCAUACACUCCUAGAAUGCAUUCUUCAUGUAUCUGCAGUCUUACAGGACACUGAUGUGGCCAGUGACAGAUAAUGUCCAAAAAAAAAAAAAUCACCCUUUUUUAAAAAUUGUGAUCAACUUUCCUUGAUCAUGAUUUUGUGUUCUGGAAUUUUUAAAAAUACUCAAUUCCAAUUCUGCAACACAUUGUGGAAUGCAUCUGGGCUGUCAAUGGGGUCAUCCAGAAUCCAGCAACUAUCACAACAAUACUCAUUAACCACUUUAAUUGGGACAAAGAGAAGCUAAUGGAAAAGUACUUUGAUGGAAAUCUGGAGAAGCUCUUUGUUGAGUGUCAUGUAAUUAAUCCAAGUAAAAAGUCUUGAACAUGCCAGGUGAAUUACAAGGUCAUCAGCACAGGAUAUGCCUUGUCAGAUCUGCUGCUUGAAUUACCCUAACUCGUAUUUCACUGGCCUUGAAUGUGGACAUAAGUUUUGUAUGUAGUGAUGGAGCAAAUAUUUAACUACCAAAAUAAUGGAAGAAGGAAUGGGACAGACUAUUUCGUGUCCUGCUCAUGGUUGUGAUAUUUUAGUGGAUGACAAUACAGUUAAGCAACUGAUCACUGAUUCAGAAGUUGAAUUAAAGCAUUUAGCAUUUAAUAACAAACAGCUUUGUAGAGUGCAAUCAACUGUUAAAGUGGUGUCCUGCCCCAGAUUGCCAUCAUGUUGUGAAAGUUCAAUAUUCUGAUGCUAAACAUGAUCGCUGAAAAUGUGGGUGCCAGUUUUGCUUUAAGUAUGGAGAAAAUUGGCAUGACCCUGUUAAGUGUAAAUGGUUGAAUAAGUGGAUUAAAAAGUGUGAUGAUGACAGUGAAACUUCUAAUUGGAUUGCAGCUAACACAAAGGAAUGUCCCAAAUGCCACGUCACAAUUGAGAAAGAUGGCAGUUGUAAUCACAUGAUCUGUAGUAACCAGAACUGUAAAGCAAAGUUUUGCUGGUUGUAUCUUGGUCCUUGAGAACCACAUGGAUCUGCUUGGUACAACUGUAACUGCUAUAAUGAGGAUGAUGCAAAGGCAGCAAGAGACAAAGGCAGCAAGGAUGAUGCACAGGCAUGAUCAAGGGCAGCCCUGCAGAGGUACCUGUUCUACUGUAACUGCUAAAUGAACCACAUGUAGCCUAUGCUUAGAGCACACAUUCAAGUGAAGUAGAAAAUGGAGGAGAUGCAGCAGCACAACAUGUACUGGACUGAGAUGCAGUUACUGAAGAAAGCAGUUGAUGUCCUCUGCAAGUGUCAUGUCACUCAUGUACACUUAUGUCUUCGCUUUCUACCUCAACAAGAAUAACCAGUCUAUUAUCUUUGAUAAUCACCAAGCAGAUCUAGAGAAUGCCACAGAGGUACUCUCGGGCUACCUUGAACAAGAUACUUCCAAGACUCUGCAGGCUACAAAGCAGAAAGGACAAGAUAAGUACAGAUACCGUGAGAGUCGAUGAAGGGUUUUGUUACAGCAUGUGCAUGAAGGUUAUGAAAAAGGUCUGUGGGAGUACACUGAGGACUGAGAAAUGGCCCUGCAUAAAAAGAACUCUGAAAACUUUACCAUCUAGAGUACUCACACAAUUAAAACAAACAAAACAAAACAUACGCAAACAAGGAGGCACUAAGCCUAUGCUGACACUGCUGGUCUGUAGUACAAGAAUUCUUUUUUGUUAGCAGAAAGGUUAAGUAAAUUAUAUUGUAAUAAAAAAGGUAGAUAAACCAUUGUACAACAGUAUUCUAGGCCACCAACAAAGUGUGACAGACACACUAAAAGACCUCCAACUGUAACUUGUAACAUAGAUUCAUUCUCAAAGCUGACUCUUUUUCUUUUUCUUUUUCCUGAGUAUAGUACAGUUAAGAUUUAAAACAGCACCUUGACACUGCUUUUCAUGUCCAAACCAGCCAUUCUGUUGUACUUUGGUAAAGGACCUCUUCCCCUUCCUCCUCGACACAUGCAAAUACACCCCCACACACAGACUGUCUCUCUCUCAUCCCCCAAGGUUGUGUGUGAAUGAUGGUUCUUUGUAAAGAAAAUUCUUGGGGCUGGGAAGAGGGUAGGCAGAAAGAAGAAUUAAACUAACAAAAAAUAACACAAAAAAACUUUGCAUAUGACUUUUAAAACGAGAACACAAUGUUUAUCAAAAUUGUAUACAGCACAUUUGCAUGGACAAAGUACGUGUGGCACGUGCUUGCAUAAUGUUUAAUUACAAAAAUCAGUUAAACGGAUCUCAAUUAGGAUUUCCUCUGGGAUUUACCACCACAGUCUAAUUAAUUACUAAAUAGCUUAACAUCCAUCUAACUCAGGACCCAUAUAUUAAAUUCUCCAAGUUGCUAAAUUGUUUACUAUAAUUAGAAAUCUUAGAAGAGACCAGAACUGUCGUAUAAUGGCAUGCCUUAGUGCAAGGCGCAUUACUUCAAUAUCAAAUAUCUUUCUCCCCUUUUUCAACUGUCUUUAUUCUACUUGUCCUCCAAGAUUCAGCUCAGAGAUGAUAUACUUCAAAACACCUUGCAAGAAACUCCUCCCAGGCUGGCCUAAAUGCCUUUGUUACUUACUGCUAUCUUGCCAUUUCAAAGAGAAGUAAUCCACAACAUGUCUGUCACACCCAAUAUUUUCAGGGUGAAGAGUCUGUAUCUCUAAGAAAAAUCAUGUUUUUGUAUUAUUUUAUUCCCUUUUAUUUAGAUCAUGAAUAGUAAACUGCAGUGAAAACCUCCUUUCAACUAGAUAUCCUUCUUCAUGUAGAAGACAUUUUACCAUUCAUUCAACAAAUAUUGAUUUAUCAACCACCAUGUCCCAAACACAAGUUGUUGAGGAUUCGAUAAUGAAUUACCACAGAAAAUUAAAAAUCAUUUAAAGCAGGUGACAGACCUUGCUAGUUAUAGUGAAUAUGUGUUGUUUGCUUCACAUAGGACAUACAGGACAAGAAAUUGGGCACAAAUGGGAAAACUCUUAGAAGGCAUGAGUCCAAAUCCUCCUUUUACACAUUUUUGAACUGAGACCUGGGGAUGAGAUAUACCAUGUCUGAGAGCACAAGAUGCAUUAAUGUAGGAGACAGAGACUAUCCGAGCUCUAGUUCUCUUUGGUGCUCUUUAUGCUUAGAAUGUUGCUUUAUGAAUCAUGUUUUCCAGCUUGCUUUUGUUAAGUAUAACUGCUAUGAAAAAAAAGAUUAUUUUUCCCCCAGGAUGGAAACAUGAACAUCUGAGAACUUUCUAAAACAUUAAUUCAACAAAUACAUGUUGAAUAUUAGCCAUGAGUCUAUAUAUCGUGUAAGUCUAUAUGUGAUACUUCCUGCCCAGGUUGUGAAGUUUUCUAAUUUCAUGUAAAAGUUCAUGUACCAAUUAUUAUAUUUAAUAUUUUAAUUCCAAAUGCUCUCAAGAAUAAUUUUUUAAACAUUCAAAACUUAAAUGAUGAAUUAAUGUUUCAGGCUCUACACCUUAAAUUGAAAUAAGUUGGCCAUAUAAAGAGUGGUUAUAGUAAAAAGAUACACAGUUGACCCUUUGAACAGCUUGGGUUUGAACUGCAUGGAUCCACUUAUACAUGGAUUUUUUUUCACCAACACAGAACAGACUUCAGUACUGCUUGACUGGUGGUUGGUUGAAUCUGUGGAUGUGGGAAUCACAUACCAGUAGUUGGCUAUAAUGUUGUACUUGAAUUUUUGACUGCACAGUGUUGGGGGUGGGGGGGUACCCCUGGCCUUGUUCAAGUGUAAACUGAUUCAGCCUUGAAUGAUAAAAUCUGAAGCUUUUGCCUCAAAGAGAAUAACUUUUUAUUGAGAACAUAUUUUAUGGCAGGUAUGGAUACAAGAAUUUCACUAUACCUUGUCUAAUCCUCACAACAGCAAUACAGGGUUAACAUUUUUAUGCCAUAUAGUUUGGCCCAAAUACAGAUCCAGAAAUAAAAGGGCUUAAAGAAAGUGUCUAACUUGUUCAGCUUACACAGCUAGCCAGAACCAGGAAUCAACCCAGGUUUACUUGUCCCUAGGCCUACCUGCUUCAAUUUGAAUCCUUAUAUUUCUCAUCAGAGAGAAUGACUUAUUUUCAAAAGUGGCAAUUUUCUUGACUACGUCAUAUUAUCAAAAUUAUUUGGGGAGAAGAAAUGUAUGGUACCUAAAAUGAGAAGUUUCACUUGCACAGACUUGCACAGACAUGCACACGUGUGUGUGUGUGUGUGUGUGUGUGUGUUUGUCCACAUACAUAUAAUCUUGAGUCCUGAUAACCCAAACAUUUUCUGUAAGAAAGAGUUAUUUACAACAGCAAAUUUAUUAGGAUAAAUGACUCCUAUGUAAUUGUAUCUUGGGUACUUACGGAGAGUAACAGCUUUAUGAAACAUAGUAACCUCAUGUUACAAAAUUUUACAUCAUUUUAUUAUUUUAUUUGGGAGAUUAAAAAAUGUACUUAAAGUUGGUUGAGGGCCUGAUUUAGAAUUCAACUGGUUUAAAGCUUGGUAGAAUUGAUAAUUUUUCAGAAAGACAGACAACCUCUUUUAAAGAGUGGUAUUUCUAGCUACACUCUGUAUGGGUUUUUGUUUUUGCUUUUUUUUUAAGCAUGGAUUAUGAGAUUUGGCCCAAAUACAGAUUUGGCCUUAAGAGAAAAUAUGUGUAAAACCUGGUGAAGAAGAAGGAAUUGUACCAACAGAAAACCUUAACAACACCAGGAAUUGCUGGAGAAGGACAUUAAUGGAAUUUUCCCCUAGAAGCUCUAAUGAUGCUAUUUGCAGAUGAUGGAUUUGGGCCACCAUUGGUAGAAGGAGGUGACUCUCUUGAAACAAGUCUGGGAAAAAUGAGUGGGUAUGUCCAUGCACAAAGACAAGUGGAUAAAUAAAAUUAUUCCUUUUUCAAUCCGUGUCAUCUAUAUUCUGCUUGAAACUCUCAUAUAAAUAAGUAGGAAUAAGAUCCUGAAAUACAAUACGUAAGAAUAGAUAUUUACUCAUUUCAGUUGAGAUGUUCCAAAGAAUAUAUUUUUACCUACUUUCUGUAAAUUAACACAUCUUUAACUGUAGCCAUUAUUAAAGCUGAUAAUUUUAGGAUGGGAGUAUAGGACCCAGUAAGAGGCAAGAAUCUCACUAAUAAAAGACCUUAUCAGCACUUCUGAAUUUAAGGUUUAAAAAAAUUUUAUCUUGGUGAAGAGGGUAAAUAUUCAGUCAAUUCAAAGUACAAACUCUCUACUAAUGUACUUACUCACAUCUAGUGAGGGUGGAGGGAAGAGGAAGUCUGACCACACAUACUGUGAUGGAGGUGUUUGUUUCUGUUCUGUGUGGGCUUCCAGUUGGUGUGGCUCAUCCUCUGUAUAUUUGGCACUAGACUUUUUUACUAUCACAUAUGAUGAUAAUAAAACUGGCAGUUCCUAGAAUAUGGGCCUGUGCCAGUAGCUAUAACCAGACCUGCCUUUGCUUUGAUUUACAGAGUCCACAUAGCUACAAUGAUCAUCUCAACACAGGACUCCAGACCCACCUUCUUCCCAGCAUUUCUGCAGCUCCCUGGUGAUGCCUGGAUUUUCCUCUUGGGUACUCUAGGUGCCUCAUAGUCUAUGUGCAAUAUAUAGUGCUAACCCAGGCUAUAAAUCUAAACAACUCUCUGCCCUUAUUGUCUACUGUUACCUUCCCAUGUUGGAUGAGCUGCCACAUGGGAUGAAGGGCUUUUCUGAAAGCUGACUGUCCCUUUUUCAGGAUAUAUCUCAGAGAAGUCCGACACUUUCCCUAUCACCCAUUCCAUGUUGGGCCAAGGUCUUGGGUAGUGAGGGGUUGAAUUACUUAAUGUUCCUUCUGUUUCCUUUCAUAAAAAUAAAAAGUUUUGAGAUGCUACACCAUAAUAAAGAUUAUAAUUACUACAGAUUUUAUUGGCAAUCGUUUUUAUACUUUCUCCUUACAAUUUGUGUAUCUUUUUUGAAUCUAGAUUUGUAUUUCAUAUGCAUAUUACAUAAACUAUUUCACCUCAAAUGACAUUUCAAAUAAUAUUUAUAGCCCAUAAAAUGCACAAUGCUAUAUGAAAAUCCACUUAAAAUAGGGACAUUAUAAGAAAAACUAGUGAGUUAAUGUCAAAAAGUAUUCAGGGAGAGUGAAUAAAAUUUUUUUAGCAUUAUAGAAUGAGAAAAUUUGAUGCUCCCCUACUCUGUCUAAUGGGUUAUAUUGAUGGAAUUUUACCUAUCCUAUCUUAGCAU